rnacentral:rRNA from 1 species
UGUGUAGGCGGUUCUCCAAGUUUGGUGUGAAAUCUCCCGGCUCAACCGGGAGGGUGCACCGAAAACUGGAGGGCUAGAGUGCGGGAGGGGAGAGUGGAAUUCCUGGUGUAGCGGUGAAAUGCGUAGAUAUCAGGAGGAACACCGGUGGUGUAGACGGCUCUCUGGACCGUAACUGACGCUGAGACACGAAAGCGUGGGUAGCAAACAGGAUUAGAUACCCUGGUAGUCCACGCCCUAAACGAUGCAUAUUUGGUGUGGGUCAUUCAGUUGAUCCGUGCCGGAGCUAACGCGUUAAAUAUGCCGCCUGGGGAGUACAGUCGCAAGGCUGAA